CCUACGGGAGGCUGCAGUGAGGAAUAUUGGUCAAUGGACGAGAGUCUGAACCAGCCAAGUAGCGUGAAGGAUGACUGCCCUAUGGGUUGUAAACUUCUUUUAUAUGGGAAUAAAAUGUUCCACGUGUGGGAUUCUGUAUGUACCACAUGAAUAAGGAUCGGCUAACUCCGUGACAGCAGCCGCGGUAAUACGGAGGAUCUGAGCGUUAUCCGGAUUUAUUGGGUUUAAAGGGAGCGUAGGUGGAUUGUUAAGUCAGUUGUGAAAGUUUGCGGCUCAACCGUAAUAUUGCAGUUGAAACUGGCAGUCUUGAGUACAGUAGAGGUAGGCGGAAUUCCUAGUGUAGCGGUGAAAUGCGUAGAUAUUAGGAAGAACACCAGUGGCGAAGGCAGCUUACUGGACAGUAACUGACGUUGAGGCUCGAAAGCGUGGGGAGCAAACAGGAUUAGAUACCCCAGUAGUC
rnacentral:rRNA from 1 species